rnacentral:tRNA from 1 species
GCCACUGUGGCAUCAUGGAUAAGGCACCGGCCUUCUAAGCCGGGGAUUGCGGGUUCGAUCCCCGCCGGUGGUA